rnacentral:rRNA from 1 species
AGCAGUCGCCACGGGAAUACGGAGGGUGCAAGCGUUAUCCGGAUUUAUUGGGUUUAAAGGGUCCGUAGGCGGAUCUGUAAGUCAGUGGUGAAAUCUCACAGCUUAACUGUGAAACUGCCAUUGAUACUGCAGGUCUUGAGUAAAUUUGAAGUGGCUGGAAUAAGUAGUGUAGCGGUGAAAUGCAUAGAUAUUACUUAGAACACCAAUUGCGAAGGCAGGUCACUAAGAUUUAACUGACGCUGAUGGACGAAAGCGUGGGGAGCGAACAGGAUUAGAUACCCCUGUAGUCCCUGUCUCUUAUAC